GAGGCGUGGCUUCCGGAGCUAACGCGUUAAGUCGACCGCCUGGGGAGUACGGCCGCAAGGUUAAAACUCAAAUGAAUUGACGGGGGCCCGCACAAGCGGUGGAGCAUGUGGUUUAAUUCGAUGCAACGCGAAGAACCUUACCUACUCUUGACAUCCAGAGAACUUAGCAGAGAUGCUUUGGUGCCUUCGGGAACUCUGAGACAGGUGCUGCAUGGCUGUCGUCAGCUCGUGUUGUGAAAUGUUGGGUUAAGUCCCGCAACGAGCGCAACCCUUAUCCUUUGUUGCCAGCGGUCCGGCCGGGAACUCAAAGGAGACUGCCAGUGAUAAACUGGAGGAAGGUGGGGAUGACGUCAAGUCAUCAUGGCCCUUACGAGUAGGGCUACACACGUGCUACAAUGGCGCAUACAAAGAGAAGCGACCUCGCGAGAGCAAGCGGACCUCAUAAAGUGCGUCGUAGUCCGGAUUGGAGUCUGCAACUCGACUCCAUGAAGUCGGAAUCGCUAGUAAUCGUAGAUCAGAAUGCUACGGUGAAUACGUUCCCGGGCCUUGUACUCCCCG
rnacentral:rRNA from 1 species